rnacentral:rRNA from 1 species
CCUACGGGCGGCAGCAGUGAGGAAUAUUGGGCAAUGGGCGCGAGCCUGAACCAGCCAAGUAGCGUGAAGGAUGACUGCCCUACGGGUUGUAAACUUCUUUUAUAAAGGAAUAAAGUGAGGCACGUGUGCCGUUUUGUAUGUACGUUAUGAAUAAGGAUCGGCUAACUCCGUGCCAGCAGCCGCGGUAAUACGGAGGAUCCGAGCGUUCUCCGGAUUUAGUGGGGUGAAAGGGAGCGUAGAUGGGUUGGUAAGUCAGUUGUGAAAGUUUGCGGCUCAACCGGAAAAUUGCAAUUGAUACUGGCAGCCUUGAGUACCGUUGAGGUAGGCGGACUUCGUGUUGUAGCGGUGACAUGCUUCGCUCUCAC